AUAGCCUUUCUGGGUCGCUGAAAAUCAGUGAUCAGCUUUGACAGGCUGAAAA
rnacentral:ncRNA from 1 species